rnacentral:rRNA from 1 species
CGGGGUGAGUAAUGUAUGGGGAUCUGCCUGAUGGCGGGGGAUAACUACUGGAAACGGUAGCUAAUACCGCAUAAUGUCUACGGACCAAAGCGGGGGACCUCCGGGCCUCGCGCCAUCAGAUGAACCCAUAUGGGAUUAGCUAGUAGGUGAGGUAACGGCUUACCUAGGCGACGAUCCCUAGCUGGUCUGAGAGGAUGAUCAGCCACACUGGGACUGAGGCACGGCCCAG